GAAAUGCGAUAAGUAGUGUGAAUUGCAUAAUUUUGUGAAUCAUCGAAUCUUUGAACGCAAAUUGCACUCCCUGGUAUUCCGGGGAGUAUGCCUGUUUGAGGGUCGUUAGAAUAAAAAUCGAGGCGUCGCUCUUUUUUUUAAGGGUGAUCGCGUCGGAAUUGAGCCGUCUUUCCAUGUCAAAGUGGCUUAAAAUUCAUCCAUCCGGUACGAUUAAAGCGUAUUUAAGAUCAAUUUUGAUUAAGAACGCGCGAUGACGUACCAUCUCAUGUAGUACGUUUGACCUGGCGUCGUCAGGAUCAUUCGUAUACGAUACUCAACUUUUGACCUCAAAUCAGGUAGGAAUACCCGCUGAACUUAA
rnacentral:misc_RNA from 1 species